AGAUCGCUUGAGCCCAGGAGGUGGAGGUUGCAGUGAGCCAAGAUCAUGCCACUGCACUCAAGCUUGGGCAAUAGAA
rnacentral:snRNA from 1 species